GAUGAACGCUGGCGGCGUGCCUAAUACAUGCAAGUCGAGCGGACGGACCAGAAGCUUGCUGCGCUGUUGUUAGCGGCGCGCGGGUGAGUAACACGGGUAUAACCUACCUAUCAUACGGGUAUAACUUCGGGAAACCGUAGCUAAUACCGGAUAAUAUCUUGAACCGCGGGGUUCAGGAGAGAAAUACGGUCUUGCUUUCGCUUAUAGCUUGUUCCGCGCUGCAUGAGCUAGUUGGUAAGGUAACGGCUUACCAAGGCAAAGAUGCAUAGCCGACCUGAGAGGGUGAUCGGCCACACUGGAACUGAGACACGGUCCAGACUCCUACGGGAGGCAGCAGUAGGGAAUGGUGCGGCAUGGGCGAAAGUCUGACGGUGCAACGAAGCGUGAGGGAUGAAGGUCUUCGGAGCGUAAACCUCUGUUAGUUGGGAAGCACCUAUGUGUAAGUAACUGUCGACAUCUUGACGGUACCUAAUGAGAAAGCAACGGCUAACUACGUG
rnacentral:rRNA from 1 species